CAAGAUGUAGCUUAAACUAAAGCCUUUCGCUUACACCGAAAAAACAUUUGUUCAACUCAAAUCAUCUUGAG
rnacentral:tRNA from 1 species